rnacentral:rRNA from 1 species
CGUAGGGUGCUAGCGUUGUUCGGAAUUAUUGGGCGUAAAGCGCGUGUAGGCGGUCAUUUAAGUCGGUUGUGAAAUCCCUUGGCUUAACCAAGGAAGUGCAUCCGAAACUAUUUGGCUAGGAGACGGUAGAGGAAAGUGGAAUUCCUAGUGUAGAGGUGAAAUUCGUAGAUAUUAGGAGGAGUACCGGUGGCGAAGGCGGCUUUCUGGAUUGAUCUCGACGCUGAGGCGCGAAAGCAUGGGUAGCAAACAGGAUUAGAUACCCUGGUAGUCCAUGCUGUAAACGAUGGGUACUAGAUGUUGUGGGAAUUGACCCCCACAGUGUCGACGCUAACGCAUUAAGUACCCCGCCUGGGAAGUACGGCCGCAAGGUUA